CCUACGGGAGGCAGCAGUGAGGAAUAUUGGUCAAUGGACGAGAGUAUGAACCAGCCAAGUAGCGUGAAGGAUGACUGCACUAUGGGUUGUAAACUCCUUUUAUAUGGGAAUAAAAUGCUCCACGUGCGGGAUUAUGUAUGUAUCAUAUGAAUAAGGAUCGGCUAACUCCGUGCCAGCAGCCGCGGUAAUACGGAGGAUCCGGGCGUUAUCCGGAUUUAUUGGGGUUAAAGGGAGCGUAGGGGGAUUGUAAAGUUAGUUGUGAAAGGUUGCGGCUCAACCGGAAAAUUGCAGUUGAAACUGGCCGUCUAGAGUACAGUAGAGGUAGGCGGAAUUCGUGGUGUAGCGGUGAAAUGCUUAGAUAUCACGAAGAACACCGAUUGCGAAGGCGACUCACUAGACUGCAACUGACACUGAGGCGCGAAAGUGUGGGUAUCAAACAGGAGUAGAUACCCCGGUAGUC
rnacentral:rRNA from 1 species